GAGCUGUUGAGGAGACGGCAUGUCUAGGAGACACUGCUUUCUUCAUUGUGACCAAAAAUUACCCUGGUUUGGACUGCCAAAGGAUGAAGGAAAAAAGAGGAAGUGGUUGGAAUUUCUUUUUGAUACAAUUCCUCCACAAUACAACCCGGACAUUUUAUUGUUUUCCCUCUAUUUUCCUAAGGACUGCUUCCCAAACUGGCAACAGUUUACUACUGGAUUUUCACAGCAGUGACUCCUGAACAACAGGGCAGUUCCCUUUGUUAGACAAAUCUGGAAAUUCGGGAUCACAACCUGGAAGGGACAACACUGUUCAGCGUUUUAGAUGUUGACUAUGGAUGGGUACCAGAAUCCAGUGCUAAAUGAACCCCGGGGCUAAAUUAUGAGAGACCGAAGUAUUGAUAAGCUCUGACGACUGUAGAUGACUUGAUGAGGCUCGUCUUCCCCAAAAUCCCCAUCCCAAAGGACCUGGCAUCCCAGUAUGAGAGACCCUCAGUGGAGGAAGUGGUUGCCUUACACGUCUCUCACUU